UACGUAGGGGGCAAGCGUUGUCCGGAAUCAUUGGGCGUAAAGCGCGCGUAGGCGGCCCGGUAAGUCCGUUGUGAAAGUCAAAGGCUCAACCUUUGAACGCCGAUGGAUACUGCCGGGCUAGAGUCCGGAAGAGGCGAGUGGAAUUCCUGGUGUAGCGGUGGAAUGCGCAGAUAUCAGGAGGAACACCAAUAGCGAAGGCAGCUCGCUGGGACGGUACUGACGCUGAGGCGCGAAAGCUAGGGGAGCGAACGGG
rnacentral:rRNA from 1 species